UCUUGCAGCUGAAUUUCUGACAAUAAAAUUAUCCCUGAAACCCACUCCAAACACAGUGCACUACAUACUGACCCACUUCAAGGGAGUCUGGAACAUUGCCAAUAACAUUCCCUUCCUACGAAAUGCAAUUAUGAAGUAUGUGUUGACAAUCCAGAUCACAUUUGAUUGACAGCCCGCCAACUUACAAUGUACAGCAUGGUUACAAAAGCUGGGAAGCCUUUUCUAAUAUCUCCUAUUAUACCAGAGUUCUUCCUGCUGUGGCUGACGACUGCCCGACUCCCAUGGGUGUGAAAGG